GACAGAGGGUGCGAACGUUGCUCGGAAUUACUGGGCGUAAAGCGCGUGUAGGCGGACUGGUAAGUCGGACGUGAAAUCCCUGGGCUCAACCCAGGAACUGCAUCCGAAACUAUCAGUCUGGAGUGGUGGAGAGGAAAGCAGAAUUCCUGGUGUAGAGGUGAAAUUCGUAGAUAUCAGGAGGAACACCGGUGGCGAAGGCGGCUUUCUGGACACUAACUGACGCUGAGACGCGAAAGCGUGGGGAGCAAACAGG
rnacentral:rRNA from 1 species